rnacentral:rRNA from 1 species
AAAACGACUCUCGGCAACGGAUAUCUCGGCUCUCGCAUCGAUGAAGAACGUAGCAAACUGCGAUACUUGGUGUGAAUUGCAGAAUCCCGUGAACCAUCGAGUUUUUGAACGCAAGUUGCGCCCGAAGCCGUUAGGCCGAGGGCACGUCUGCCUGGGCGUCACGC